CGCCCAUUGGCCACGCCGCCGCGCCCGCCGGGGGCCGCCCCCCGCCUCCCGGAGAGGGAGGGGGCGGGGAGGAGGAAGCCGCGAGGAGUGGGCGCGGAGCACGGGCGCGCGCGGGGCGGGGAGGGGGCGGGAGCGGCGCCGGGGGAGGGGCGGCCAGGUGCUCCUUGGCGCGCGCCCGGGGCGCGGUGGGCGGAGCCCGAGGCUGGAGGUGGUGGGGGGUUACCGGGAAGGUGCUCGCUAGCCCCCGGCUUGCACGUGGAGGUGGAGUGCAGACGCUCCCCAAAGCCGGGAAGGUCGAAGGCUUAGCCUCCCACUCGAGAGAAAUCAAAGGAUGUGCCGGAUUUCCAAUAAAUAGCACCUUUGGAUGUAGAAGAGGAAUGGCUCCCUCACCCUGCUACGCACACCCCCACGCCACCCCACAGCUCUGACACGGCUUUUCUUCGGCAGCCGCACACUGUUACCAUUCCCGGCUUGUGGGGGAGAAGACUGUUGUGCGCCUGUGUCUGUCCGCCUGGGCAGCUCCAGCCCCUGGUUAAUAAAAAAGGCACAGAUGGUUAAGACACGAA